rnacentral:rRNA from 1 species
UGGGGAAUUUUGGUCAAUGGGCGCAAGCCUGAACCAGCAACGCCGCGUGGGUGAUGAAGGCCUUCGGGUUGUAAAGCCCUGUCGGGAGGGACGAAAAGUCUGCGUAACGAGCAGGCCUGACGGUACCUCCAAAGGAAGCACCGGCUAACUCUGUGCCAGCAGCCGCGGUAAUACAGAGGGUGCAAGCGUUGUUCGGAAUUACUGGGCGUAAAGCGCGUGUAGGCGGUGCCAUAAGUCCUGUGUGAAAGCCCUGGGCUCAACCCAGGAAGUGCGCAGGAUACUGUGGGACUGGAGUACUGGAGAGGAUGGCGGAAUACCCGGUGUAGAGGUGAAAUUCGUAGAUAUCGGGUGGAACACCUGUGGCGAAGGCGGCCAUCUGGACAGUCACUGACGCUGAGACGCGAAAGCGUGGGGAGCAAACAGGAUUAGAUACCCCCGUAGUCC